rnacentral:rRNA from 1 species
GCCCGCUCAGAAACUUAAGGAAUGACGGGGCCCGCACAAGCGGUGGAGCAUGUGGUUUAAUUCGAUGGUACGCGAGGAACCUUACCAGGGCUUGACAUACGUUGGAAGCGCAUCGAAAGGUGCGUGCCGCUUGCGGCCGGCGUACAGGUGCUGCAUGGCUGUCGUCAGCUCGUGCUGUGAAGUGUUGGGUUAAGUCCCGCAACGAGCGCAACCCCCUGCUGCCUGUUGCCACCACGAGAGGUGGGGACUCAGGCGGGACCGCCGGUGACAAACCGGAGGAAGGUGGGGACGACGUCAAGUCAUCAUGGCCCUUAUGUCCUGGGCUACACACGUGCUACAAUGGCCGGUACAGAGCGCAGCGAGGCCGCGAGGCGGAGCGAAUCGCUUAAAGCCGGUCCCAGUACGGAUUGGAGUCUGCAACCCGACUCCAUGAAGUUGGAAUCGCUAGUAAUCGCGCAUCAGCAUGGCGCGGUGAAUACGUUCCCGGGCCUU